UACGUAGGGUGCGAGCGUUAAUCGGAAUUACUGGGCGUAAAGCGUGCGCAGGCGGUUUUGUAAGCCAGAUGUGAAAUCCCCGGGCUUAACCUGGGAAUGGCAUUUGGGACUGCAAGGCUGGAGUGCGGCAGAGGAGACUGGAAUUCCUGGUGUAGCAGUGAAAUGCGUAGAUAUCAGGAGGAACACCGAUGGCGAAGGCAGCCCCCUGGGUCAAGACUGACGCUCAUGCACGAAAGCGUGGGGAGCAAACAGG
rnacentral:rRNA from 1 species